AGCGAACGCUGGCGGCGUGCUUAACACAUGCAAGUCGAGCGAAGGUGUUUCAAGGGUAACCUUGAGAUACACUUAGCGGCGGACGGGUGAGUAAUACGUGGAUAACUUACCUCUAGGCCUGGGAUAACCCCGGGAAACUGGGGCUAAUACCUGAUAAGACCACAUUGUCUACGGACAAAGGGGUAAAAGGUGGCUGUGCAAACAGCUAUCGCCAAAAGAUAGGUUCACGUCCCAUCAGGCAGUUGGUGAGGUAAUGGCUCACCAAACCAAAGACGGGUAGCCGGCCUUGGCGGGUGAACGGCCACACGGGGACUGAGACACGGCCCCGACUCCUACGGGAGGCAGCAGUGGGGAAUAUUGGGCAAUGGGCGCAAGCCUGACCCAGCGACGUCGCGUU
rnacentral:rRNA from 1 species